CUAAAGGCUUUAAUGAGGUUGUUACCUCCCUCUAAAGCCACCCAACCCUUUCAAAAAGGUGAUGG
rfam:Phaethon lepturus contig120182, whole genome shotgun sequence.